CAGAGUGUAACAACUCCCAAAACCCUUUGUGAAUCUGCCUAGUCAUUGUUCCUUCGGUAGGCGGUCCCUGGGAGGGAUCUGUAGCCCGCGUGGUGCCUGCCGGAGAACGAUCCAAACUCUGUUACUUUGGUACUAUUCUGAGUCAUUACAAAAUAAGAUAA
rnacentral:misc_RNA from 1 species